rnacentral:lncRNA from 1 species
AUUUUGUUGCCCAUAUGAACAUAAAUUUGACUUUCAAACACCACAACAUGUUAUAAUCAAACAUGAGGAAGAUCAUUGUCUUGCAUACGAAUAUCAUACAUGCAUCGCUGUCUCACGUAGUACGAGUACUUGAGAAGAAGUACUGAAUAAAAAAGAUCUGUAAAUUAUUACAUGGUUCUCCCAAUAAAAGCAUACACCCUAGAGCUAACCAUCAAGGGAAAACACUUGUAGCAAUAGCAUCACGGAUGGAACCCAUAGUACCAUCAUCAAUGGGUGCAUGGUGGUGAGAAAGGCUCUCCACAUUAUCCCAUUGUGCUUUCAUCUAUUUUUCAUCAUGUCAAUACAAAAGAAUUGGAAGAAUUAAUAUGUAGUACAAACAAUAUCUAGAAUUGCUUUUAUGGUAGCAUAUAUAAGCAACGCACCAUGUCAAUAUUUCUUCUAUGCAACCAGAGGGCAACAAUUGUACUACUAUUUGGUACAAUCAAUACAUCCAUGUCAAAAUUAUUUCUGCCAUAUAUAAGCAACGCAUCAUAGCAAAUCAAGAUGAGAACAUCAUACUUUAGCAGUAGCUUACAACAAAUCUAGAUGAACUUUUUUGCAAAAGAAAUCACAGGAGGAGUUGUUCACCUUGGUGGCUCACGGCCAGGAGGAGGGGAGGGGGAAAGGGGUCGCCGUCCACCGGAGUGGAGCCCUGGCCGGACCGGGCCAGGAGCUGUUGCUGGACACCGGGGACGGAGGGGAUGCGCCCGAGGGAGGGGCCGCGCCCGUGGGAGCUGGGGUGGAAGAUGUAGGCCUACCUGUUGGCCAUGUCGCCGGAGAUGGCCUUGUCGAGGAGCGGGGGACCUGAGGACCGGCGGCGGCGGCGGUUAGGAGGAACCCUAGGCGGAGCGACAGAAUAGAGGAGGGGUCGAGUGGGAGGGAUGGGAUCGAGCGCAGCCCGUCUGCCUGCUCUUUUUUGUGUCGGGAACUCUGUGCGGG